CGGGACACGUGGUAUCCUGUCUGAAUAUGGGGGGACCAUCCUCCAAGGCUAAAUACUCCUGACUGACCGAUAGUGAACCAGUACCGUGAGGGAAAGGCGAAAAGAACCCCGGCGAGGGGAGUGAAAAAGAACCUGAAACCGUGUACGUACAAGCAGUGGGAGCACGCUUCGGCGUGUGACUGCGUACCUUUUGUAUAAUGGGUCAGCGACUUAUAUUCUGUAGCAAGGUUAACCGAAUAGGGGAGCCGAAGGGAAACCGAGUCUUAACUGGGCGUUAAGUUGCAGGGUAUAGACCCGAAACCCGGUGAUCUAGCCAUGGGCAGGUUGAAGGUUGGGUAACACUAACUGGAGGACCGAACCGACUAAUGUUGAAAAAUUAGCGGAUGACUUGUGGCUGGGGGUGAAAGGCCAAUCAAACCGGGAGAUAGCUGGUUCUCCCCGAAAGCUAUUUAGGUAGCGCCUCGUGAAUUCAUCUCCGGGGGUAGAGCACUGUUUCGGCAAGGGGGUCAUCCCGACUUACCAACCCGAUGCAAACUGCGAAUACCGGAGAAUGUUAUCACGGGAGACACACGGCGGGUGCUAACGUCCGUCGUGAAGAGGGAAACAACCCAGACCGCCAGCUAAGGUCCCAAAGUCAUGGUUAAGUGGGAAACGAUGUGGGAAGGCCCAGACAGCCAGGAUGUUGGCUUAGAAGCAGCCAUCAUUUAAAGAAAGCGUAAUAGCUCACUGGUCGAGUCGGCCUGCGCGGAAGAUGUAACGGGGCUAAACCAUGCACCGAAGCUGCGGCAGCGACACUAUGUGUUGUUGGGUAGGGGAGCGUUCUGUAAGCCUGUGAAGGUGGCCUGUGAGGGUUGCUGGAGGUAUCAGAAGUGCGAAUGCUGACAUAAGUAACGAUAAAGCGGGUGAAAAGCCCGCUCGCCGGAAGACCAAGGGUUCCUGUCCAACGUUAAUCGGGGCAGGGUGAGUCGACCCCUAAGGCGAGGCCGAAAGGCGUAGUCGAUGGGAAACAGGUUAAUAUUCCUGUACUUGGUGUUACUGCGAAGGGGGGACGGAGAAGGCUAUGUUGGCCGGGCGACGGUUGUCCCGGUUUAAGCGUGUAGGCUGGUUUUCCAGGCAAAUCCGGAAAAUCAAGGCUGAGGCGUGAUGACGAGGCACUACGGUGCUGAAGCAACAAAUGCCCUGCUUCCAGGAAAAGCCUCUAAGCAUCAGGUAACAUCAAAUCGUACCCCAAACCGACACAGGUGGUCAGGUAGAGAAUACCAAGGCGCUUGAGAGAACUCGGGUGAAGGAACUAGGCAAAAUGGUGCCGUAACUUCGGGAGAAGGCACGCUGAUAUGUAGGUGAAGCGACUUGCUCGUGGAGCUGAAAUCAGUCGAAGAUACCAGCUGGCUGCAACUGUUUAUUAAAAACACAGCACUGUGCAAACACGAAAGUGGACGUAUACGGUGUGACGCCUGCCCGGUGCCGGAAGGUUAAUUGAUGGGGUUAGCGGUAACGCGAAGCUCUUGAUCGAAGCCCCGGUAAACGGCGGCCGUAACUAUAACGGUCCUAAGGUAGCGAAAUUCCUUGUCGGGUAAGUUCCGACCUGCACGAAUGGCGUAAUGAUGGCCAGGCUGUCUCCACCCGAGACUCAGUGAAAUUGAACUCGCUGUGAAGAUGCAGUGUACCCGCGGCAAGACGGAAAGACCCCGUGAACCUUU
rnacentral:rRNA from 1 species